GUGCUCACUUUGGCAGCACAUAUACUAAAAUUGGCACAGUGCAGAGAUUAGUAUGGUCCCUGCACAAGGAUGACACACAAUUUGUGAAAUGUUCCACAUUUUU